GCAAAGGGUGGUUUUAACCUGGACAAGUAGCCUACCCUAUUCUGUACACAAAUACUGUAGUUUUAUAAAAAGGAUGACGAGAGGCACAUUGACAAGGAUCUGCAAAUCGGGACUUUCUUGCUUUGUUCUAAUCUCAUACAUAGGUAUGACAUCUUCGAUGAGUUUCGAUUUAAAUGAACUUAGAAAUAAAGUUUCAAACAUCAAGGUAAAUCAGAGGGGAAGUCUAUGGGCAACUGGUCAUUUCAUGGGCAAGAAAAGUGUGGAUAGCACGUUUUUGGAGUCUUCCUUCGGAAAUGGAAAGAUCCCUUUUGGAGUUCAGUCUGUCAACCCCGAGCGCAACGCAGAGAGUUUGACAGAGCUGCUAAUUGAAGACGUGCUGAAAAGGGCUCUACAGACUCCGCAGAAACAGGGCUUGAGAUCGGGAGGCGGUUUUCCUGAUGAAAUUACUGGACAACAUUUGAACCAACAGAAAUAAACUGAGAAGGGAGAAAGGGCACCCACAUCCAACUAUACAGCAUCAACCCACAAAGAAGAUGAAUGGAGGAUUUCAAUAAAGUGAUCAUAUCGAGAUUCGCAAGAUGUUCAGCUAAACUAAGCCUAAUGUAUUGUUUUAUUAAAAAGCUGUGACAUUGUUUUUUCCCGCUCCAUAAUUAUCCACUCCUGUAGUGCUUCUCAUAUCUGAAUAAAAAUGGAAGAACAAACAUGUUUCAUGUCUUUAGGCUAUUUAGGUCACAUUCACCCACAUUCAUCAUAGAAAAUAAAGCCUGUCCACUACACUUAUUGUUUUAGCAAUUAAUCAAUGUUGUA